rnacentral:rRNA from 1 species
CCUACGGGAGGCAGCAGUGGGGAAUAUUGGACAAUGGGGGAAACCCUGAUCCAGCGACGCCGCGUGCGGGAAGAAGUAUUUAGGUAUGUAAAGCUCUAUCAGCAGGGGAGAAAAUGACGGUACCUGACUAAGAAGCCCAGGCUAACUACGUGCCAGCAGCCGCGGUAAUACGGAGGGAGCAAGCGUUAUCCGGAUUUACUGGGUGUAAAGGGAGCGUAGACGGUCGAAAAAGUCUGAGGUGAAAUGUCGAGGCUCAACCCCGGAACUGCAUUGGAAACUGUUGAACUAGAGAGUAGGAGAGGUAGGCGGAAUGUCUAGUGUAGCGGUGAAAUGCGUAGAGAUUAGAAAGAACACCGGUGGCGAAGGCGGCUUACUGGGCU